rnacentral:rRNA from 1 species
GAUGAACGCUGGCGGCGUGCCUAAUACAUGCAAGUCGAGCGAACAGACGAGGAUCUUGCUCCUCUGACGUUAGCGGCGGACGGGUGAGUAACACGUGGAUAACCUACCUAUAGGACAGGGAUAACUUCGGGAAACCUGAGCUAAUACCGGAUAACAUGUUGAACCUCAUGGUUCAACAGUGAAAUACGGUCUUGCUGUCGCUUAUAGAUGGAUCCGCGCCGCAUUAGCUAGUUGGUAAGGUAACGGCUUACCAAGGCAACGAUGCGUAGCCGACCUGAGAGGGUGAUCGGCCACACUGGAACUGAGACACGGUCCAGACUCCUGCGGGAGGCCGCAGUAGGGACUCUUCCGCAAUGGGCGAAAGCCUGACGGAGCAACGCCGCGUGAGUGAAGAAGGUCUUCGGAUCGUAAAACUCUGUUAUUAGGGAAGAACAAAUGUGUAAGUAACUAUGCACGUCUUGACGGUACCUAAUCAGAAAGCCACGGCUAACUACGUG